rnacentral:pre_miRNA from 1 species
UAGGGCAACCAGCUGUCCCGGUUUGCCCAGGACUUGCACAGUUUUUGUAGGAAACCUUUUGGUCCUGGCAAGCUGGGACAGCUGGUCACCCUAAAGCCCA